rnacentral:rRNA from 1 species
ACUGAAAUCAUUUUGUCUUGGACACACCCAAUUAUACCUAUUUCAUAAGUUAAGCAGAGUCAGACCUGUUUAGUGCUUGGAUGGGAGAACAGUAGCUAAAACCAGUGAUAUGCAGGU